GAUGAACGCUGGCGGCGUGCCUAAUACAUGCAAGUCGUACGGAAAGGCCCUUCGGGGUACUCGAGUGGCGGACGGCUGAGUAACGCGUGGGAACGUGCCCCAAAGUGAGGGAUAACGCACCGAAAGGUGUGCUAAUACCGCAUAUGGUCGUCGGACUAAAGCUUCGGCGCUUUGGGAGCGGCCCGCGUACGAUUAGAUAGUUGGUGAGGUAAUGGCUCACCAAGUCGACGAUCGUUAGCUGGUCUGAGAGGAUGAUCAGCCAGACUGGGACUGAGACACGGCCCAGACUCCUACGGGAGGCAGCAGUAAGGAAUCUGCCACAAUGGGGGCAACCCUGAUGGAGCAACGCCGCGUGCAGGAUGAAGGUUUUCGGAUCGUAAACUGCUUUUAUAAGUGAAGAAUAUGACGGUAACUUAUGAAUAAGGAUCGGCUAACUUCGUGCCAGCCGCCGCCGUAA
rnacentral:rRNA from 1 species